rnacentral:lncRNA from 1 species
CUUCUGGCCUUUUUGCAGUACCACUUAUAAACCCCUCAAGAUUGUGAGAAUCCAAAAUUAGACGAACAUGUCGCGUCCAACUUAAGUACGUACCCGGCCCAUCCAAUUUGACCGGGUUAGUUUCUAGGGUGAUCUUUGAAAACUCACUACCCGAGAUACGAGAUUCCAUCAUCCUAACCAUUAACUUUUCUAAAUCCUCC